AAAUGAAUAGACGGGCACCCGCACAAGCGGUGGAGCAUGCUGUUUAAUUCGAAGAUACGCGAAGAACCUUACCUGGGCUUGACAUCCCAUUGCAAGAUUUUGGAAACAAGAUCCCUCUUCCUCGAGAAGACAAUGGUGACAGGUGGUGCAUGGUUGUCGUCAGCUCGUGUCGUGAGAUGUUCGGUUAAGUCCGAUAACGAGCGCAACCCUUAUCUUUAAUUGCUAACAUUUAGUUGAGAACCUUAAAGAGACUGCCGGUGAUAAACCGGAGGAAGGUGGGGAUGACGUCAAAUCAUCAUGCCCCUUACGUCCAGGGCUACAGGCGUGCUAUAAUGGCCGAUAUAAAAAGAUGCAAUCUCGUGAGAGGGAGCAAAUCUCAAAAGUCGGUCUCAGUCCGGAUUGGAGUCUGCAACUCGACUCCAUGAAGUUAGAAUCGCUAGUAAUCGUGAAUCAGAAUGUCACGGUGAAUACGUUCCCGGGUGUUGUACACACCGCCCGU
rnacentral:rRNA from 1 species